CGGCGGUUCCUUCGCGGCAGUGCUGUUGUGAACCCCACCAGGCCCGGAAGGGAGCAAUGGUAGCAAUAAAACUGGGUGCCGAAGAUUUACGGUCGCGG
rnacentral:SRP_RNA from 1 species